rnacentral:rRNA from 1 species
UACGAAGGGGGCUAGCGUUGCUCGGAAUCACUGGGCGUAAAGGGUGCGUAGGCGGGUUUUAAGUCAGAGGUGAAAUCCUGGAGCUCAACUCCAGAACUGCCUUUGAUACUGAAGAUCUUGAGUUCGGGAGAGGUGAGUGGAACUGCGAGUGUAGAGGUGAAAUUCGUAGAUAUUCGCAAGAACACCAGUGGCGAAGGCGGCUCACUGGCCCGGUACUGACGCUGAGGUGCGAAAGCGUGGGGAGCA